AACGAACGCUGGCGGCAUGUCUAACACAUGCAAGUCGAACGAGACCUUCGGGUCUAGUGGCGCACGGGUGCGUAACGCGGGGGAACCUGCCCUUAGGUUCGGAAUAACUCCCCGAAAGGGGUGCUAAUACCGGAUAAUGUCUUCGGACCAAAGAUUUAUCGCCUUUGGAUGGGCCGGCGUUGGAUUAGCUGGUUGGUAGGGUAAAAGCCUACCAAGGCGACGAUCCAUAGCUGGUCUGAGAGGAUGAUCAGCCACACUGGGACUGAGACACGGCCCAGACUCCUACGGGAGGCAGCAGUGGGGAAUAUUGGACAAGGGGCGAAAGCCUGAUCAAGCAAUGCCGCGUGAGUGAUGAAGGCCUUAGGGUUGUAAAGCUCUUUUACCCGGGAUGAUAAUGACAGUACCGGGAGAAUAAGCUCCGGCUAACUCCGUG
rnacentral:rRNA from 1 species